GGAGAGGUGCCGGAGUGGCCGAUCGGGCACGCUUGGAAAGCGUGUGUGCGGGUAACCGUACCGGGGGUUCGAAUCCCCCCCUCUCCGUCA
rnacentral:tRNA from 1 species